CUCCGGUUGAUCCUGCCGGACCCGACUGCUAUCGGAUUGAGAUUUAGCCAUGCGAGUCGAACGUCCCCCUGUUACGGGGGGCGUGGCGUACGGCUCAGUAACACGUAGUCAACCUGCCCUGGAGACAAGGACAACCCCGGGAAACUGGGAUUAAUCCUUGAUAGGUCAUCUCAUCUGGAAGGAGAGAUGGCUUAAAGGGGUACGCGGGCUUCUUCCGCGAAUUCGCUCCAGGAUGGGACUGCGUCCGAUCAGGCUGUUGGCGGGGUAAUGGCCCACCAAACCUGUAACCGGUACGGGCCUUGAGAGAGGUGGCCCGGAGAUGGACACUGAGAGAAGGGUCCAGGUCCUACGGGGCGCAGCAGGCGCGAAACCUUCGCAAUGCGCGAAAGCGUGACGAGGUUAAUCCGAGUGAUUUCCGCUGAGGAGAUCUUUUGUCAGCUGUAAAUAGGCAGGCGAAUAAGGGGAGGGCAAGCCUGGUGUCAGCCGCCGCGGUAAUACCAGCUCCUCGAGUGGUCGGGGCGAUUAUUGGGCCUAAAGCAUCCGUAGCCGGUUCCGUAGGUCCUCUGUUAAAUCCAACCGCUUAACGGUUGACCUGCAGAGGAUACCGCGGGACUAGGAGGCGGGAGAGGCGGACGGUAUUCCGCGUGUAGGGGUAAAAUCCUUUGAUCCGCGGAGGACCACCAGUGGCGAAGGCGGUCCGCCAGAACGCGCUCGACGGUGAGGGAUGAAAGCUGGGGGAGCGAACCGGAUUAGAUACCCGGGUAGUCCCAGCCGUAAACGAUGCUAGCUAGAUGAUUCAUUCGCAAGUCGCGAAUGAAGUGUCGCAGGGAAGCCGUUAAGCUAGCCGCCUGGGGAGUACGGUCGCAAGACUGAAACUUAAAGGAUUGGCGGGGGAGCA
rnacentral:rRNA from 1 species